rnacentral:rRNA from 1 species
AUUGAACGCUGGCGGCAGGCCUAACACAUGCAAGUCGAACGGUAACACAAAGCGGCUUGCUGCUUUUCUGUCGCGUGGCGGGCGGGUGUGUAAAGUCCGGGAAACUGCCUGUUGGAGGGGGUUAUCUACUGGAAACGGUUGCUCGUCCCGCAUAACGUCGCUAGGCCUAAGAGGGGGACCUUCGGGACCCUUGCCCUCCUAUGUGCCCAUAUGGGAUUAGCUAGUAGGUGGGGUGACGGCUCACCCCGGCGACGCUCCCUAGCUGGUCUGCGAGGGUGAUCAGCCACACUGGAACUGAGACACGGUCCAGACUCCUACGGGAGGCAGCAGUGGGGAAUAUUGGACAAUGGGCGCAAGCCUGAUGCAGCCAUACCGCGUGUAUGAAGAAGGCCUUCGGGUUGUAAAGUACUUUCGUCGGGGAGGAAGGGAGUAAAGUUAAUACCUCUGUUCUUUGACGUUACCCACAGAAGAAGCACCGGCUAACUCCGUG